UGAACGCUAGCGACAGGCCUAACACAUGCAAGUCGAGGGGCAGCGCGGAGCAAGCUUGCUUGUUCUGGCGGCGACCGGCGCACGGGUGCGUAACAGGUGUGCAAUCUGUCCAUAAUCGGGGAAUAGCCCAGCGAAAGUUGGAUUAAUGCUCCAUGUGAGCCGAGGAGGCAUCUCUUUGGUUUGAAACGUAAGGAUUAUGGGUGAGCACGCUUCUGAUUAGGUAGUUGGUGAGGUAACGGCUCACCAAGCCGACGAUCAGUAGGGGUUCUGAGAGGAAGGUCCCCCACAUUGGAACUGAGACACGGUCCAAACUCCUACGGGAGGCAGCAGUGAGGAAUAUUGGUCAAUGGGCGAAAGCCUGAACCAGCCAAGUCGCGUGAAGGAUGAAGGUUCUAUGGAUUGUAAACUUCUUUUGUCUGAGGGUAAAAAAGCGGACGUGUCCGUUCUUGCAAGUAUCAGACGAAUAAGCAUCGGCUAACUCCGUG
rnacentral:rRNA from 1 species